CCUACGGGAGGCAGCAGUGAGGAAUAUUGGUCAAUGGUCGGGAGACUGAACCAGCCAAGCCGCGUGAGGGAUGAAGGUACAGAGUAUCGUAAACUUCUUUUGUCAGGGAACAAAGGCGGGGACGUGUCCCCGGAUGAGUGUACCUGAAGAAAAAGCAUCGGCUACCUCCGUGCCAGCAGCCGCGGUAAUACGGAGGAUGCGAGCGUUAUCCGGAUUUAUUGGGUUUAAAGGGUGCGCAGGCGGUCUGUUAAGUCAGCGGUCAAACCCCGGGGCUCAACCCGGGGCCGCAGUUGAAACUGGCAGUGUCGAGUUGGAGAGAAGUAUGCGGAAAGCGCGGGGGAGCGGUGAAAUGCAUAGAUAUCGAGGAGAACUCCGAGUGCGAAGGCAGGAUGGCGGCACCACACUGACGCUGAGGCACGAAAGCGUGGGUAUCGAACAGGAUUAGAUACCCGGGUAGUC
rnacentral:rRNA from 1 species